CUUUCCUGUAAAUCGCUGUGUGCUGCCGUGGCUUGCAGGAGACCAGGACUCACUGCAGAGGUUCUGGUUCCCAGCAUUGAAAUUAGUGCACUCCCAGGCUCCCCAAAGCUUCUGAGGAUCAUGAGGUCAGGACUUGAAGCACAGCAGGGAGCAUUCUGGAUGCCCCUUCAGGGGUCGCUUCAGUGACCCAAUGAUGCUUACAAGGAUCCCGGAAAUGGCUGAACGUGCUCUUUCCCCACCUGGCCUGCACUCCCGAGGCCCCCACAGCCCACCAGCGCCCCUCCAGCACCCCGGAAACAACCCCUGCAUCCUUGCGAAAUCUCCACAGCAACUCCUCCU